CCUACGGGAGGCAGCAGUGAGGAAUAUUGGUCAAUGGGCGCGAGCCUGAACCAGCCAAGUAGCGUGAAGGAUGACUGCCCUACGGGUUGUAAACUUCUUUUAUAAAGGAAUAAAGUGAGGCACGUGUGCCUUUUUGUAUGUACUUUAUGAAUAAGGAUCGGCUAACUCCGUGCCAUCAGCCGCGGUAAUACGGAGGAUCCGAGCGUUAUCCGGAUUUAUUGGGUUUAAAGGGAGCGUAGAGGGGUUGUUAAGUCAGUUGUUAAAGUUUGCGGCUCAACCGUAAAAUUGCAAUUUAUACUGGCAGUCUUGUGUACAGUUGCUGUAGGCGGAAUUCGUUGUGUAGCGGUUA
rnacentral:rRNA from 1 species